rnacentral:rRNA from 1 species
UACGUAGGUGGCGAGCGUUGUCCGGAUUUACUGGGCGUAAAGGGCGUGCAGGCGGUUUGUUAAGUGCAGGGUGAAAGCUCCCGGCUCAACUGGGAGAGGUCCUUGCAUACUGGCGAACUCGAGGGAGGCAGAGGAAAGUGGAAUUCCCGGUGUAGUGGUGAUAUGCGUAGAUAUCGGGAGGAACACCUGUGGCGAAGGCGGCUUUCUGGGCCUUACCUGACGCUGAGGAGCGAAAGUGUGGGGAUCAAACAGG